rnacentral:rRNA from 1 species
GAUCAUGGCUCAGGACGAACGCUGGCGGCGUGCUUAACACAUGCAAGUCGAACGGGAUGAUUUAGAAGCUUGCUUUUAGAGAAUCUAGUGGCAAACGGGUGAGUAACACGUAGGCAACCUGCCGACAGGAUGGGGACAACAUUCCGAAAGGAAUGCUAAUACCGAAUGAAGUCAGAGAAGGGCAUCCUUUUCUGAUGAAAGAUGGCCUCUGAAUAUGCUAUCACCUGUCGA